UUGGAUAAACUGUGGUAAUUCUAGAGCCAAUACAUGCAUCAAGCCUCGGCCUUCGGGUUGGGGUGCAAUUAUUGGAGCAAAACCAGUCUUGAACUGAUUGCUAACUCUGGAUAAUUCUGCUUAUCGCAUGGUCUUGUACCAGCGAAGUUUCUUUCAAGUAUCUGCUUUAUCAACUAUCGUUGGUAGUUUAUUGGACUACCAUGGUGUUGACGGGUAACGGAGAAUCAGGGUUUGACUCCGGAGAGGGAGCCUUAGAAACGGCUACCAUGUCUAAGGAUAGCAGCAGGCGCGAAAAUUACCCAAUAUCAAAGCGAUGAGGUAGUGACGAGAAAUAACGAGAUCGUUCUCUAUGAGGUCGAUUAUUGGAAUGAGUACAAUCCAGACAUUUUAACGAGUACCUACGAGAGGGCAAGUCUGGUGCCAGCAGCCGCGGUAAUUCCAGCUCUCGUAAUGUAUAGAAUUAUUGUUGCGAUUAAAAAGUUCGUAGUUGGAUUGUCACGCGGGCAUGGGUCCACCUUCGUGGUGCGUACUCAAUGCCCGCAUUUUGUUGGUUUGCGCGGCGUUGCUUCGGUGGCGUCGUGUUGCCAACAGGAUUACUUUGAACGGCUCAAGUGCUCAAAGCGAGUCUUAUGACUGAAUACCGGUGCAUGGAAUAAUGGAACAAGGUUGCGGCCGAGUUUUAUUGGUUUUGUCGGCUGAAACAAUGGUUAACAGGAACAGCCGGGGGCAUUCGUAUCGCUGCGCGAGAGGUGAAAUUCGUGGACCGUAGCGAGACGUCCGACAGCGAAGGCAUUUGCCAAGAGUGUUUUCAUUAAUCAAGAACGAAAGUCAGAGGUUCGAAGGCGAUUAGAUACCGCUCUAGUUCUGACCGUAAACGAUGCCACUGUCGAUCCGCUUGUGGAUUUUUUUCAUGACGGGGAGGUUCCCGGAAACGAAAGUGUUUCGGUUUCGGGGGAAGUAGGUUGCAAAGCUGAAACUUAAAGGAAUUGACGGAAGGGCACCACCAGGAGUGGAGCUUGCGGCUUAAUUUGACUCAACACGGGAAAUCUCACCCGGCCAGUACAUCGUAAGGAUUGACAGACUGACAGCUCUUUCAUGAUUCGGUGAAUGGUGGUGCAUGGCCGUUCUUAGUUCGUGGAUUGAUUUGUCUGGUUUAUUCCGAUAACGAGCGAGACUUUGACUAUUAAAUAGUGCGAUUGUUGCUUCGGCUUUGAUCGAACACUUCUUAAAGGAAUUUGUGGUUUCCAACCUCAAGAAAUUGAGCAAUAACAGGUCUGUGAUGCCCUUAGAUGUUCGGGGCCGCACGCGUGCUACAAUGGUGGUAACAGCGUGAUUGUCCUUUUCCGACAGGAAUUGGCAAACAGUUGAGAUAUUAUUAUGGCUGGAAUUGAGUGUUGAAAUUUUCUCUCAUGAACGAGGAAUUCCAAGUAAAUGUGAGUCAUUAACUUGCAUUGAUUACGUCCCUGCCCUUUGUACACACCGCCCGUCGCUGCCCGGGACUGAGUUGCUUCGAGAAAACUAGGGAUCGUUGGAGUUCAAUGUUUCGGCAUUGUCUUUGAUGCAAACUAGUUUAAUCGCAGUGGCUUGAACCGGGCAAAAGUCGUAACAAGGUAGCCGUAGGUGAACCUUCGGCUGGAUCAUUA
rnacentral:rRNA from 1 species